ACUCAAAUGAAUUGACGGGGGCCCGCACAAGCGGUGGAUCAUGUGGUUUAAUUCGAAGCAACGCGCAGAACCUUACCUGGGUUUGACAUCCUCGGACAGCUGUAGAAAUACAGUCUUGAUAGCAAUAUCACUGAGUGACAGGUGCUGCAUGGCUGUCGUCAGCUCGUGUGGUGACAUGUUGGGUUAAGUCCCGCAACGAGCGCAACCCUUGUCUUUAGUUGCCAGCAUUAAGUUGGGCACUCUAAAGAGACUGCCGUGGUUAACACGGAGGAAGGUGGGGAUGACGUCAAGUCCUCAUGGCCUUUAUAUCCAGGGCGACACACGUGAUACAAUGGAUGGUACAAAGGGAAGCGAAGUGGUGACACGGAGCCAAUCUCAAAAAACCAUUCUCAGUUCGGAUUGGAGUCUGCAACUCGACUCCAUGAAGUUGGAAUCGCUAGUAAUCGCGGAUCAGAACGCCGCGGUGAAUACGUUCCCGGGCCUUGUACACACCGCCCGU
rnacentral:rRNA from 1 species